UGGGUUAAGUCCCGCAACGAGCGCAACCCUUAUCCCAGUUGCCAUCAGGUAAAGCUGGGAACUCUGGGGAGACUGCCGGUGAUAAACCGGAGGAAGGCGGGGAUGACGUCAAGUCCUCAUGGCCCUUACAUCCCGGGCUACACACGUGCUACAAUGGCAGGUACAGAGGGCUGCGAAGCCGCGAGGUGGAGCGAAUCCCAGAAAACCUGUCUCAGUCCGGAUUGAAGUCUGCAACUCGACUUCAUGAAGGCGGAAUCGCUAGUAACCGCGAAUCAGCAGGUCGCGGUGAAUACGUUCCCGGGCCUU
rnacentral:rRNA from 1 species